UACGGGGGAGCAAGCGUUGUUCGGAUUUACUGGGCGUAAAGGGCGCGUAGGCGGCCACUGCAAGUCGGUUGUGAAAUCUCCGGGCUUAACCCGGAAAGGUCAAUCGAUACUGCAGGGCUAGAGUGCAGAAGGGGCAACUGGAAUUCUCGGUGUAGCGGUGAAAUGCGUAGAUAUCGAGAGGAACACCUGCGGCGAAGGCGGGUUGCUGGGCUGACACUGACGCUGAAGCGCGAAAGCUAGGGAGCGAACGGG
rnacentral:rRNA from 1 species